UACGUAGGAUGCAAGCGUUAAUCGGAAUUACUGGGCGUAAAGCGCGCGUAGGUGGUUUGUUAAGUUGAAUGUGAAAUCCCCGGGCUCAACCUGGGGAACUGCAUCCAAAAACUGGCAAGCUAGAGUAGGGCAGAGGGUGGUGGAAUUUCCUGUGUAGCGGUGAAAUGCGUAGAUAUAGGAAGGAACACCAGUGGCGAAGGCGACCACCUGGGCUCAUACUGACACUGAGGUGCGAAAGCGUGGGGAGCAAACAGG
rnacentral:rRNA from 1 species